rnacentral:lncRNA from 1 species
GUGCUGUGGAAACCCACAACUUCCAGUGCAAGCACAAGGUGAGAUGGCAAAUGUGUAUCAAACCCACGAAACAGAAUAGAUGUUCUUUGUGUAAACUGCAUAGAUACAUAUUUAGGUAUAGAUGAAUCUAUUUCAUUGCAUCUAUAUUCCCUAGAGUUUUAUUAUACUUUUUGCAAUCUCUUUUUAAAAUUAUUAAAUAGAUACAGUAAAUUAAAUCUUGAAUGAAUGUAUUAGGUCUGAGGCUAGUCAGAGGAAAGUAUUGCUUUCUAAAGCAGAUAAUGGUAUAAUUUGCUUUCCUUCCCCUAACACUUUUGUACUUUCCAUAUUUAAACCAUACUGGUAGCUCCCAGAACAUGAUACUGGAAAGUAAGACCUGGAACAUCUGCAACAAGUAUUAAUUCAUUCAACCAACCAAAAAGGAAGGGGGAUACAGGGAAAUAUCCUAAAAUGAAAAAAUGAGGAGAAUCAGGACAUGAGAAGUCUCAGCAUGGUGUUAAAAUGGACAUCACUGUUAUAUUAAAGCUCUAUAGGGACAUGAAUUGCAGACUGUUGAAGAUGGGAUACCAAUAAAUUCCUUUUAUCCACCACUGUAAUGGACUAAAAUAAAGUGUUUGCAGAGAAGCAAGCCAGUUAAGCCUGGGGUCUGCAUAUGUGGAUCAGCAUAUUCGACAAGCAGCAAUCCUAAUUUAUUCCAUCUGGUUUUAGGCAAUGUAUAACAUACCAGGACAGUCCUGUCUUUCCCUGGCCCUGCCUUUGGGGUCUAUAUGCUGUUUAUGGGAUGAUCUAAAAAGAAACCUCCCUCUGCUGCAGCUCUGAACUUGGAAACUGUCCCUCAUGGAGGGAAGAGGUAAAUCAGUAGGGUUUUCUGCCUUACACAUAGGUUUUAACUCAAAUGCAAAUAUAAUCCUGCCAAAGACUGAUUUAAUUUUUCAUCCUCCUUUCCCCCACUUUUGGAUCUCAGUGUCAAAUGAACAUCUGAUCUACAGUCAUCACAUCUGAACAGCAAUCAACAUAUGUUGCAAGGGGUCAACCAAGGGUUGUGCAGCUCCAGCCCCCUGCAUGCAGAUUCCUGUUCUGCAUGUUUCCAGCACAGCACAACACACAGCACAGCCUGGCUCUUCUUUGCUUCCUGGAACCAAAGCCCUAGAAGACAAAUGCCGAAGAUGUAGCUUGUGCUAUCUCUGCAGUCUAGAACCUUCCCCAUUGGGGUGGUCAGGCUUACUAAAGCCAAAGUCUGAAUAUUCCAAAUUCCAAUAUCAUCCUCCUGUAUAACAUUUUUUCCAAAAUGCCUCUUAUUUCUUCUGUAGAAGAACGUGAACCCUGCAUCUCUGCCAAACAAUAGCAUCUCUUCCUUCCUUGCGCAUCAUCUUUUCCCUUUUGUUGCUAUUCCAGACUCAGCAGUUCCGGAAUCCAUCAUAUUUGUUAAUCUCUAACACCAUUGUGCAGUCUUCCACAUGUACUCCUUCCUGACUGGUUACCUGCUUGACAAAGACUGUCUUGUAUGCCACAUUCCUCCUCAGCUUGGGGUAGGGAGUUGCCAUAGGAGAUUGAUGCCAUGUCAUGAUUGGAUAGGUACAUGUUUUCUCUUUGAAGGAUUUGGGGGUCUUUCAUCCCUUUGAUUUUUCCCAUCAUCUUCAGAUUUUCAGUUGUGCCAAACAGCCAUGUGGGGAUCCUACACACCACAUGCUUCCCAUGGUGCAUUUAAUUUCUGUACAUUUCAUUUCCUGUGCAUAGUAGGCUCUUGGUUAUUGCCAGUUCAUUAUGCCUGCAGACAUGCUCUGACAGCAGAAGCAACUUUGGCUACUGGUGGUAUGUUUGACUAAUAAAAACAUGGUACAAAAAGCUUGAGUUUUAAGAGCACACAGGCGAAGGCUUCAGUGCUAAAGAUCAACUCUUUCCAUUUUCAGCAAGGCUUUUGCUGUGUGACUGGAAAAUGCGUUAUGCAAGAUGAAUCACAUGCCAAGACAUAAUUUUGUUAGUCACUCAUACUAACCAGAAAACAGGUUAGGGUGAUGAGAACAGGAUCCGCUUUGUAAGGUCCAGUAAAGACUGGGAACGGCUGAAAACAGCACUAAGCAGCAAUUUAUAGCCAAAGUCAGUGUCUUUAAGUGGCUGUGAGAGGGAAACAAGCUGCCUAUCUUGAUGCAAAUGGGCUGUUCUUCCCAAUUAGGUGCUUUUGUUAGAGCAUCACAUUACAGUAUGCUACUAUUCCAGCCUUAAGGGCAUGAAGAUAGUAUGAUGUGGCCAAUUUGGCUGACAAAGUAUUAGGAGGCUGCCAAUUUCAUAUUAAUGCAUUUACAAAGAAACAAAAGGUUGAAUGAUCUCAAAUUCAUGAUUUUUUUUUGUUUGUUUGCUUUGUUUGUUUGCUUGCUUUUUUCUUUUUCUUAUCAGAUCUUCAAGAAUCAAGGCACUGGUUCUUACUUCCUGCCGCUCCUCCUGCUGCUGCUGCUGUUGUUGUUUUAUUAAAAGCUAAAUAUAACUUUAGGUCAC